CAACCCUCAAGCCCGGCUUGUGUGAUGGACGACCGUCCAGCCUUACGGCGGGACGCGCCCGAAAUGCAGUGGCUAGGCCGCGAUUCCGGCGCCUGAGCGAAUGGGACUUCCAACGCUUUCUAGGACCGGCCGGCUUCUCUGGCCUUUUAACCGGACGUGUUUCCUUCUUUAACGGGAGGGGGACCGCCCACUUAACCAAA
rnacentral:misc_RNA from 1 species